UACGGGGGGGGCAAGCGGUUGUUCGGAAUUACUGGGCGUAAAGGGCUCGUAGGCGGCCAACUAAGUCGGAUGUGAAAUCCCCAGCUUAACCUGGGAACUGCAUCCGAUACUGGAUGGCUUGAAUCCGGGAGAGGGAUGCGGAAUUCCAGGUGUAGCGGUGAAAUGCGUAGAUAUCUGGAGGAACACCGGUGGCGAAGGCGGCAUCCUGGACCGGCAUUGACGCUGAGGAGCGAAAGCCAGGGGAGCAAACGGGG
rnacentral:rRNA from 1 species